rnacentral:rRNA from 1 species
UUGAAGAGUUUGAUCAUGGCUCAGAUUGAACGCUGGCGGCAGGCCUAACACAUGCAAGUCGAACGGUAACAGGAAGAAGCUUGCUUCUUGCUGACGAGUGGCGGACGGGUGAGUAAUGUCUGGGAAACUGCCUGAUGGAGGGGGAUAACUACUGGAAACGGUAGCUAAUACCGCAUAACGUCGCAAGACCAAAGAGGGGGACCUUCGGGCCUCUUGCCAUCGGAUGUGCCCAGAUGGGAUUAGCUUGUUGGUGGGGUAACGGCUCACCAAGGCGACGAUCCCUAGCUGGUCUGAGAGGAUGACCAGCCACACUGGAACUGAGACACGGUCCAGACUCCUACGGGAGGCAGCAGUGGGGAAUAUUGCACAAUGGGCGCAAGCCUGAUGCAGCCAUGCCGCGUGUAUGAAGAAGGCCUUCGGGUUGUAAAGUACUUUCAGCGGGGAGGAAGGGAGUAAAGUUAAUACCUUUGCUCAUUGACGUUACCCGCAGAAGAAGCACCGGCUAACUCCGUGCCAGCAGCCGCGGUAAUACGGAGGGUGCAAGCGUUAAUCGGAAUUACUGGGCGUAAAGCGCACGCAGGCGGUUUGUUAAGUCAGAUGUGAAAUCCCCGGGCUCAACCUGGGAACUGCAUCUGAUACUGGCAAGCUUGAGUCUCGUAGAGGGGGGUAGAAUUCCAGGUGUAGCGGUGAAAUGCGUAGAGAUCUGGAGGAAUACCGGUGGCGAAGGCGGCCCCCUGGACGAAGACUGACGCUCAGGUGCGAAAGCGUGGGGAGCAAACAGGAUUAGAUACCCUGGUAGUCCACGCCGUAAACGAUGUCGACUUGGAGGUUGUGCCCUUGAGGCGUGGCUUCCGGAGCUAACGCGUUAAGUCGACCGCCUGGGGAGUACGGCCGCAAGGUUAAAACUCAAAUGAAUUGACGGGGGCCCGCACAAGCGGUGGAGCAUGUGGUUUAAUUCGAUGCAACGCGAAGAACCUUACCUGGUCUUGACAUCCACAGAACUUUCCAGAGAUGGAUUGGUGCCUUCGGGAACUGUGAGACAGGUGCUGCAUGGCUGUCGUCAGCUCGUGUUGUGAAAUGUUGGGUUAAGUCCCGCAACGAGCGCAACCCUUAUCCUUUGUUGCCAGCGGUCCGGCCGGGAACUCAAAGGAGACUGCCAGUGAUAAACUGGAGGAAGGUGGGGAUGACGUCAAGUCAUCAUGGCCCUUACGACCAGGGCUACACACGUGCUACAAUGGCGCAUACAAAGAGAAGCGACCUCGCGAGAGCAAGCGGACCUCAUAAAGUGCGUCGUAGUCCGGAUUGGAGUCUGCAACUCGACUCCAUGAAGUCGGAAUCGCUAGUAAUCGUGGAUCAGAAUGCCACGGUGAAUACGUUCCCGGGCCUUGUACACACCGCCCGUCACACCAUGGGAGUGGGUUGCAAAAGAAGUAGGUAGCUUAACCUUCGGGAGGGCGCUUACCACUUUGUGAUUCAUGACUGGGGUGAAGUCGUAACAAGGUAACCGUAGGGGAACCUGCGGUUGGAUCACCUCCUU